GAUGAACGCUGGCGGCGUGCUUAACACAUGCAAGUCGAACGGAAAGGCCCUGCUUUUGUGGGGUGCUCGAUUGGCGAACGCGGGAGUAACACGUGAGUAUCCUGCCCUUGUCUUUCGGGUAACUUCACGAAACUGGGGCUAAUACCGGAUAGGAUCUCCUGCUCCAUGGUGGGCGUUGGAAAGUUUCGGCGGUUGGGGUUGGACUGGCGGCUUAUGAGCUUGUUGGUGGGGUAGUUGCUUACCAAGGCUGUGACGGAUAGCCGGCUUGUGAGGGUGAACGGCGACAAUGGGACUAAGAGACGGAGCAGACUCCAACGGGAGGCAGCAGGGGGAAGUAUGACACAGUGAGAGGAAGCGUGAUGAGGAGGCGCCGCGUGCGGGAUGACGGCCUGCGGGUUGUGAACAGCUGUCGCCUGUGGCGAAGCGGGAGUGACGGUAAUGGGUAAAGAAGCACCGGCUAACUACGUG
rnacentral:rRNA from 1 species